rnacentral:rRNA from 1 species
AUUGAACGCUGGCGGCAGGCCUAACACAUGCAAGUCGAACGAGUGGCGGACGGGUGAGUAAUGGCUGGGAAACUGCCUGAUGGAGGGGGAUAACUACUGGAAACGGUAGCUAAUACUGCAUACCAGCAGAUGUGCCCAGAUGGGAUUAGCCAGUAGGGGGGGUAAUGGCUCACCUAGGCGACGAUCCCUAGCUGGUCUGAGAGGAUGCACAGCCACACUGGAACUGAGACACGGUCCAGACUCCGACGGUAGGCAGCAGUGGGAAAUAUUGCGCAAUGGGCGAAAGCCUGAUGCAGCCAUGCCGCGUGUAUGAAGAAGGCCUUCGGAUUGUAAAGUACUGUCAGUGGGGAGGCGUUACCCGCAGAAGAAGCACCGGCUAACUCCGUGCCAGCAGCCGCGGUAAUUC